ensembl:misc_RNA 7SK 7SK RNA
GCAAGUGAAGGUGAUCUGGCUGUGAAUUCUGGGACCCCACUGAUCACUAGCGUUGAUGUGGUUGGGCGAGUGUCCCCUUCUACCCUGACCAUUCCAUGUGCAUCUGUCCCCAAGCUACUGCUCCACUGAAGAGGACUUCCAUACAGGAGGGCGGAGGAUCAUUUCGUCCAUCAAGGGUAUACAAGCAGCUGUGCUCCCCUGCUGGAAUCUCCAAACAAGCUCUCAAGAAAUUCCAACAUCCAAGCAUCAUGAAAAACAGGGACUUACAUCACUACACAAAGAAAUAACAAAAACUAUCACUUGUCUUAUAU